rnacentral:rRNA from 1 species
AUUGAACGCUGGCGGCAGGCCUAACACAUGCAAGUCGAACGAGUGGCGGACGGGUGAGUAAUAUCUGGGAAACUGCCUGAUGGAGGGGGAUAACUACUGGAAAAGGUAGCUAAUACCGCAUACCAUCGGAUCGGCCGAGAUGGGAUUAGCUAGUAGGUGGGGUAAAGGCUCACCUAGGCGACGAUCCCUAGCUGGUUUGAGAGGAUGACCAGCCACACUGGGACUGAGACACGGUCCAGACUCCUACGGGAGGCAGCAGUGGGGAAUAUUGCACAAUGGGGGCAAGCCUGAUGCAGCCAUGCCGCGUGUAUGAAGAAGGCCUUCGGGUUGUAAAGUACUUUCAGCGGGGAGGCGUUACCCGCAGAAGAAGCACCGGCUAACUCCGUGCCAGCCGCCGCGGUAAUAC